rnacentral:rRNA from 1 species
GAUGAACGCUGGCGGCGUGCUUAACACAUGCAAGUCGAACGGUGAAGCAGAGCUUGCUCUGUGGAUCAGUGGCGAACGGGUGAGUAACACGUGAGCAACCUGCCCCUGACUCUGGGAUAAGCGCUGGAAACGGCGUCUAAUACUGGAUAUGAGCUGCGACCGCAUGGUCAGCAGUUGGAAAGAUUUUUCGGUCUGGGAUGGGCUCACGGCCUAUCAGCUUGUUGGUGAGGUAAUGGCUCACCAAGGCGUCGACGGGUAGCCGGCCUGAGAGGGUGACCGGCCACACUGGGACUGAGACACGGCCCAGACUCCUACGAGAGGCAGCAGUGGGGAAUAUUGCACAAUGGGCGAAAGCCUGAUGCAGCAACGCCGCGUGAGGGAUGACGGCCUUCGGGUUGUAAACCUCUUUUAGCAGGGAAGAAGCGAAAGUGACGGUACCUGCAGAAAAAGCGCCGGCUAACUACGUG